UACAGAGGUCUCAAGCGUUGUUCGGAUUCAUUGGGCGUAAAGGGUGUGUAGGUGGCGCGCUAAGUCGGGUGUGAAAUUUCGGAGCUUAACUCCGAAACUGCAUUCGAUACUGGCGUGCUUGAGGACUGGAGAGGAGACUGGAAUUCAUGGUGUAGCAGUGAAAUGCGUAGAGAUCAUGAGGAAGACCAGUGGCGAAGGCGGGUCUCUGGGCCGAAACUGACGCUGAGGAGCGAAAGCGUGGGGAGCAAACAGG
rnacentral:rRNA from 1 species